rnacentral:lncRNA from 1 species
UGCUGUUUAUCUGUGCCUUGAUAUGCUAGAAUUGUAGACAAUUUUAUCUUUGAAAAUCUUUAAAAUAUUGCAUGACGAGUUCCUGUAUGAUGAGAGUUUAAAUUCCUACCACAACCAUAUACACAUGCUUGCUAGACUUUGAGCCACACAUUUACUUUUUACUGCUUAUGAGCAUUGAGUGUGGUCAAGCUGUGUAGACCCUUAGGAGCUUGUCAUGUGGUUAAAUCAAGACUCACUUGCACGUUCACUCACACAUGCUACUUCUACUCCGGAAGUACCAUCCACAUAUAUUCACUCAUUUCCAUCUCCAGAACCACCCAAAAAUAUUCUACUCCUAAUCUGGGAGGGAAUAGCCAAAAAUAUUUCUAUUUUUCCCCUGUGAAAUAAAUGCUCAAGUUAUCUUGUUACUACCACUUUCUAUAUUAUCUCAAGAGAUAACUGCUUUAAAAAAAAGAAGAAGAGAAAAAAAGAUACGAGGAAAUAAAAAGGGGCAAGUGCCCGGAACCUCGAAAGAAAAGAAAGAGUGAGACGAGAGGUAAAAAUGGACAAGUGUCCGUAGAAUUAGGGGUACUAGAUACCCACCUGAGAGAAAAGAAAAAUGAAAGAUAGAGCAUCUCAUUCUCCUCACAAAGUUUCAAAAAAGCAAGAAAGGUAUGUAUCCCCUCAAAGAGCAAAAGUAGAAUUAGACUUUCACCAUUGUUAUCACCAUCAUUGAUAACCAUGAUGGUGCAAAUUCCAAACUUCAUACUCCAUCCAUCAUUGAAGAGAACCAUGAGUUAGGGUCGG